rnacentral:rRNA from 1 species
CGGGUGAGUAACACGUGGAUAACCUACCUAUAAGACUGGGAUAACUUCGGGAAACCGUAGCUAAUACCGGAUAAUAUUUUGAACCGCAUGGUUCAAAAGUGAAAGACGGUCUUGCUGUCACUUAUAGAUGGAUCCGCGCUGCAUUAGCUAGUUGGUAAGGUAACGGCUUACCAAGGCAACGAUGCAUAGCCGACCUGAGAGGGUGAUCGGCCACACUGGAACUGAGACGCGGUCCAG